UACGAAGGGGGCUAGCGUUGCUCGGAAUUACUGGGCGUAAAGCGCUCGCAGGCGGAUUGAUAAGUCGGGGGUGAAAUCCCGGGGCUCAACCUCGGAAUUGCCUUCGAUACUGUCUAUCUAGAGUCCGGGAGAGGUGAGUGGAAUUCCUAGUGUAGAGGUGAAAUUCGUAGAUAUUAGGAAGAACACCAGUGGCGAAGGCGGCUCACUGGCCCGGAACUGACGCUCAUGAGCGAAAGCGUGGGGAGCAAACAGG
rnacentral:rRNA from 1 species